UGAACGCUGGCGGCGUGCCUAAUACAUGCAAGUCGAGCGAACAGAUGAGGAGCUUGCUCCUCUGACGUUAGCGGCGGACGGGUGAGUAACACGUGGAUAACCUACCUAUAAGACUGGGAUAACUUCGGGAAACCGGAGCUAAUACCGGAUAAUAUAUUGAACCGCAUGGUUCAAUAGUGAAAGACGGGUUUGCUGUCACUUAUAGAUGGAUCCGCGCCGCAUUAGCUAGUUGGUAAGGUAACGGCUUACCAAGGCAACGAUGCGUAGCCGACCUGAGAGGGUGAUCGGCCACACUGGAACUGAGACACGGUCCAGACUCCUACGGGAGGCAGCAGUAGGGAAUCUUCCGCAAUGGGCGAAAGCCUGACGGAGCAACGCCGCGUGAGUGAUGAAGGUCUUCGGAUCGUAAAACUCUGUUAUUAGGGAAGAACAAAUGUGUAAGUAACUAUGCACGUCUUGACGGUACCUAAUCAGAAAGCCACGGCUAACUACGUG
rnacentral:rRNA from 1 species